rnacentral:tRNA from 1 species
AAAUCCGUCGAAUUUUUAAAUCGUGAGAGUUCAAGUCCCUCUAUCCCCA